CUUCAACUGGAAUGAGGUUGCAGAAAUAUUGUUGGGACGUGAAAACGCUUGGCCUCUACCUACAGCAGACUGGCAUCAGAUAGAUCUCACCCCAUCCAUAGCAAUUUUAUGGUUAUUCAUGUGACAUAACAUCGAGCCUAUAUCCCACAGAACAACAUUUACAAAUCCAAGGGCCGGAUUCAUAUACCAUUUGGUUAGAGGGAACAAGAUUGAUCUAGCCACGUACAUCUACAACCAAAUUCAUGGUACAGGCACUUGGGGUGAUAGGCACUACUCACUAAUUUUUCCCAGUCUGAUAAGUGGAAUAUGUAGAGCAGCAGGGAUACAAAUCCAACCUGGGGAAGCACCAGAAAAGCCAAGCCCCUUUAUCAAGCAAUCCACACUAGAGGCCCAAGACCGAGCAAGACUGAAGCACCAACAGAAAUUAGAAAACGCACGACGACGACAACAAUUGAAUGAGGAAGGUCAAGCAGAUGCAGACCUUGACAUGCCUCAAAUUCCUCCACCACCACCCCAGGUUGAUAUGGACAAUCAGGUUUUGAGGCAGAUAUUCGCCACCACCACUGGAACUAGCCGGGACAUACAACAUCUCCAGCAGAGUUUCGAGACCAUGACUACCACUGUUGACAAAGUGCAGAGAGACCUCUACUCUUCCCGG
rnacentral:lncRNA from 1 species